UCAAGAAUUUAUUGUGCAGACGGAUGCCUCUGAGAGGGGCAUAGGGGCUGUGUUGUUACAGGGACCACCUGGUGAGCGACGGCCUGUGGCUUUCAUUAGCCGCAAACUCUUUCCAAGGGAAGUCCGCUAUUCGACAAUAGAGAAGGAAUGUUUGGCAGUUAAAUGGGCCCUAGACUCCUUGAGAUAUUACCUACUUGGAAGGGAGUUCAAGUUGGAAACGGACCAUAAAGCUCUCCAGUGGCUGGAAAGGAUGAAAGAUACCAAUGGGAGGAUCACACGGUGGUAUCUGGCUAUGCAGCCUUUCCGGUUCACUGUCCAGCACGUUCCGGGCAAGUCCAAUGUGACCGCUGACUACUUCUCUCGUUGUAUCCACGAGAUGCCUGAAGGGAGGGGGUGUGUGAUGGCCGAACCUGUGGCCACACAUUGAUAAGGUUUAAGUUACCGUGGCAUGGAGGUUGGAUGAAUGGCGUUGACUCAGGUGUGCGUCUUUCCGUCAUCGCGGUCUUGACUGACAAAAGGCUGAGGCGCGUGCGGCAGUCAAUAUUUAUGGCCUGAGCAUUCCACUGGACGAUACCAACUGGAUGCUAUGUCAUGGGGGGGUGAAGAAAUGAAGUUAUAUUUCUGAUUGGUUCCAAUUUAUUUUUAUUAUUAAUAUUUGUUGUUUUGUAUUAGAUUGUUUUGUUUGUUACUCUAUUUACUUUGAUUAGAUAACUUGUAACUAAUUUGUUGGUUUAUAAAGUGUUGAUUGUAUGUUUUCCCCUGUCUUGUUUAAGUGAGCUCACCGUCUGUGAUAAAUACCUGUCUGUUGUCUCAUUUAGGGGGUUAGUUUUGUUUUGUUCAGUUCUUCUUAAGUUUCGUUAUAUUGAAUUAAAACUUGUUUUGUUUACUUUAUUAAAGUCUAGCUAGAUUAUUUGUUAGAACAAGUUGAUUUAUUUUGUAACUGAGACCUUUUUCUUAUUUUUGGGUAAAAUAAAACCUUUUUUUGUUGGCAA